CCCUAAAAGCCAUUUCUCCCUCACUCUCGGCCGUACACUCUCUCUCUCCCCGACCUCACUUUCUCGUCCUCUCCCUCUGCCAUCGCCGGAACCACAUCGUCCGGCCACCGCCUCACCUCACCGCUACCACCAAUCGAAGCAGCACCUCAAUCCAACCUAAACCCAUAAGAGAUCGAAGCCAUGCAUCGACCCGGCCUCUCUCUUCCGCUAUCCUUCUCUCUGCCACCAUCGGAGACUCCAUCUCCGGCCACCAUCUCCCCACACCGUCUUCACCAAUCGACGCAGCAUCCAAAACCAACCCAAGCCCGAGCCUUAACGUCGAAAUACAUCGCCGGCAGCCUCUACCCGUGACCACCCAAGGCUGCGACGCUGCUGCCACUCAACCUCCAUCAAUUUCUGGCCGCCUUUUCAAUACACCGUAGCCUCCUGUGAGCUCAGGGAGCGCCGACCAUCAAGCCCCCGACAUCCCAUCGCCAGAAGACGUUGAACACACAUCGCCGGAAACCGAGCUCUGCAUGCCUUCGUUCUCUAAUCUCCAACGCGAAUCGUGCUAAACCACCUCCAUGGUUGGAAUCAGCGUCUCACGUUUUCCAAAAGUCCAAACACCCGACCUCCGAUUCCGACCAGAGCCGCCACACGCGCCGCCGGCGCCGGCCCGUGAGAAUCCUUGAUGCCGCCGUGAACUCUGCCGGCGUAGUCCUCUUAUUCUGGUAAGCCGUUUUUAAAGCCCCCUUUCGUUAUUUGGUUGAGUUUCAUUUCCAAAGUAGUGGAUUGCUGAUGUUCAAAUCUUUUGGUUGAUGUUCUUGAAUUCGGGACUUGGAGGAUGGGAAUUGAGAUGAGAGGGGAGCUUCUUGUCUUGGUAUCGAUUUCAGUUUUGGUGGGAUGGUGAAGAAUACAGAAGGACUGCAAGAAGCGGUACGUUAUGGAGUUUGUGGUUUCGGCAGAACUA
rnacentral:lncRNA from 1 species